CUAUGCCCAACACACUAUUAAUUGGCAAAAUUAACCAUUUUGCCAUUUCCUUUGAAGAGAAAGUAUAACUUCGUUUUGUCUUCCUUGAGAAAAUUUCUCCAGGGAGAAUCCUAAAAGUUCAGAAAGGGUUCCAAAGAAAUCCACUGGCAGCUGGCUGAAUCAUUCUUCACAGUAGAGCAGAAUCAUUUUAAAACAGGUUAAUCUUGAAUAUCCAGGCAAAGAGACUGUUUUAAAGUCAUCUCAAACCAUGGGUUCCAUUAUUAUGAGGAAUAGUAGUUGUAAUCUCAAUAGCUACUGUUAAGAACGACUCUGCUUAUUGAAAGCUGCUGAGCUCCCACUGGCCUUUCAAUGUGUGGGACUGCUGAUGGAGGCAGAGGUGAGACAGCAAAGUCACCUGGUCCACCCCCUUCCUCAAGAUGAUCUCAGCACAGCCUGCAGUGACUGCCUCGGAUGGGAAUGACAGCCAAAUGCUGUAGAGGGCGUAUUUCAGGGAGUGGAUAUGGUGGUAAAGGUAUGCUAAAAACUCACAUUGUGGACGGAGGGAAACGAGGCUUGGGGUCUAUAUUGC
rnacentral:lncRNA from 1 species